rnacentral:ncRNA from 1 species
UUAAAAGCAAUGAUAAGAAGAAGUAAUAAUCGGUAAUCCAAACAGAAAGCAGCCGGGAGAUGAGAGGCGUAUGGCAGUCUGGUUAUGAAUACAUCUUUGAGCUGCGCACCGAACAGUAUUUAAGUAGGCUGCGACGUAACCUGCACACGUUAUAGUGCUAGAGUAUAACCCAUAUUAAUGGAGUACUUGAAGAGGUAAGCAAUGCGAAUUGUUUAUAAAGAACAGGUGGUAACACGGGAUAUAUGCUCCCGUCCUUUCA